rnacentral:tRNA from 1 species
UCUGUGGUGGUCUAGUGGUUAGGACUCUGUGCUUCCACUGCCGUGGUCCCAGGUUCAAUCCCUGGUCAGGGAA